rnacentral:rRNA from 1 species
GUAAUAGUUAUGGGCUUGAAACUUAAAGAAUUUGGCGGUAUUUUAAUCUUUUCAGAGGAACCUGUUCUAUAAUCGAUAUUCCACGUUAAAUUUUACUAAGUAAUUUGUAUAUCGUUGUCGAAAGAAUAAAUUUUCUAAAAUUAUUAUUAUAAUUUAUGUCAAAUCAAGGUGCAGUUUAUGAUUUAGUAGAAAUGGGUUACAAUAAAAAUAUUUAGGAGU